GUCAUAGCAUAAAUUCUUAGCGCCGGCCGUCCCAAAAUAUGGUGAAAGGGAACGACGGCACAGAGUUCGCGGC
rnacentral:sRNA from 1 species